AGAAUUUUAAGACAGAAACAUUGCUUGCAGAGUUUUCUAAGGGAUUCUGAUCAACUUACGUCUGAAAAAGUGUGGUAAAAUCUGAACACUAACAUUGCAGCCCUUUGACCUCAAAUGUAUAUGCUGAAAAUUCAGAUCCCAUCUGGACCCAGUAAAUGUGUGACUUGAAAGAAGGCAAAUGAAUGAAGACUUCCAUACUCUGGAGCUUCAGCAGAGAGGUGCUGCAGAUCACCUGGGAAAAUUCCAGUACUAUGCUUUUGCACUUUGAGGAAUAAACUGAGAAGGCUACAGCUAUACUUCAUGGAUGUUUAUGUGCAGGCCUUGUCUGCUCACUGGGCUCCAGAACCACAGGACUUACCCUUGGUCUUUCCUGUGCUGCUGGACUCCUGGAGAGCAGGUCUGUGGCUGAUGAGGUUGGUGUCCUGCUCUUGUCUCCUGGCUCUUUUGUUUGAGCUGGUGGCAAGGUCUGAGCAGAAUUUUGCUCACAACCUUUCCAGCCCCUCCUUUAUCAAAGAACUUGAGACAAAUUCAAAAUUAGGAAAGGCCACAUUUCAAAAGUGUCUUAUGCUAGUGGCUGUGGUGAUUUUACCAAUUUUAUGACAUCUACUUUUAACUUUACAGAGUACGAUCUUACUGUAAUUACUGCUUGCAGCUUUAAGGGAGCUGGUGUGGACCAUACUAUUUUAAAGGUAUAAGCUCUAUUGAUCUAAAGUAUUCUGAGUGAUAAACAGCUGCUCAGGUUGAUUAAAGCUGAAGGGAAGCUGAAGCAUUUAAUCAAUCUCCAAAGCUGCUCCAAGUAUAUUACAAAGCAAUUGUGAUUAUUGCUAUUAUAUGACAAGCUAUAUCAUAAUAAAGAAAGAGGGAUCAUUUUUCUUAGAAGCA
rnacentral:lncRNA from 1 species